GGGACUAUAGUUAAGUGGUAGAAUUCAUUCUUAGGGUGAAUGAGACGCGAGUUCGAUUCUCGCUAGUCCCC
rfam:Dictyostelium lacteum strain TK GLQOFTK02GHM7A, whole genome shotgun sequence.